rnacentral:lncRNA from 1 species
ACAUAAUAUUAGUUUUCAUUUUCAUAUAGUUUUAUUAAAAAUGAGAUGGAUAGAUGAUUAUAUAUCUAUAUAUAAUAGACACAUGAUAGAUAUGAUAGGAUAAUAAAUCUAUAUCAUAAUAUGUGGACCAGGUAGAUAAAAAUGCUUGUUUUCUCUUCAGGUAUCUUCAUCUUACCUAUCAUCUAUCUAUCUAUCUAUCUAUCUAUCUAUCUAUCUAUCUAUCUAUCUAUCUACCUACCUACCUACCUACCUACCUACCUAUCAUUUAUUUUAGUUUUUUGAUACAGGUUUUUGUUUGUAGCCCUGACUAUUCUGGAAUUCAUUCUGCAGACCAGGUUGGCCUCAAACUCAGAGAUCUGUCUACUUCUGCAAAUCAAAUGCUGUAAUCAAAGGCAUGUACCACAUUGGCCUAGGCCAAUUAUCUUAAUUUUUAUGAAAUCAAAAGAAUACAUUUUAAUGUAACUGGGGAUGUGCUAGGUUCUAAGGCAGCUUAAGUAUAGGGCCAUAAAGUCUAAUGUUUUGAAGCAAAUGAACAUGCAAAGCAGCCAUCAUAGUUCAGAAUGGCCAGAACUGUAGAAAAUCUUCUUCCACUGAGAUACAGUGGAAGAAGAUUAUAUUAGUCCGGGUUCUCUAGAGUCACAGAACUUAUGGGUAGUCUCUAUAUAGUAAAAAAAUUUAUUGAUGGCUUACAGUCUGCAGUUCAACUCCCAACAAUGGUCAGUAGCAGCUGUGAAUGGAAGUCUAAGGAUCUAGCAGUUGCUCAGUCCCACAUGGCAAGCAAGCAAAGGAGAGAGAGAGAGAGAGACUUCCAAUGUCCUUAUAUAGGUCUCCAGCAAAAGGUGUAGCCCAGAUUAAAGGUGUGUACCACCACGACUUUAAUCCCAGAUGACCUUGAACCUGGAAAUCUCCAUGUUUAAUCUUCUGGAAUUCAUAGCCACUAUGCCUCAAGAUCUCCAUACCAUAUCCAGGUCAGAAACUUGUAUCUCCCAGCCUCCAGAUUAGGAUCACUGGUGAACCUUCCAAUUCUGGAUUGUAGUUUAUUCCAGAUAUAGUCAAGUUGUCAACUAGGAAUAGCCACUACAAAGAUCAAAUGC